UCUUGCAAUGUUUUUAUGUGAAAGUUAGGCAAACGAAUUUGAUCAAUGUGAUAUAGACUUAUCCGAAUUUCAAAUUUAUCAGACGUGAUGCUUACUUGCUUAUUAAUCAAACACGAUUUAUUAUCUCUUAAUACUUUGCAUUCAAAUUUUGUAAGAUACGUAAGCACUGUUAUGAAAAAUAAGAGAAAAAAAACUAAAGGAAAAAUUAAAGGUCCAUAUGUUAACGAAAAUGAUAUAGUUGUUGCUGGUCAAAUCAUUACAAAGCAAAAUAAUCUUUUGUUUCACCCAGGAUUAAAUGUUAUAAUUGGUAAAAAUAACACCUUGAAUUCUGUAAUUAAUGGUAAAAUAAUUGUAAGUGCAGAAAAAUUGUUUCUAGAUAACACUCGAUAUAAAGUACAAAAUUAUUAUAAAGAUUGGAGAGGUCAGCCUUCACACAAAAAAUUCUUCAAUGUUUUACCAUUAUUAACACAUGAAAAAUUUAUAAUAAAAAAUUUUAUAUAAUAUUAAUGUUAACAAUAAUAUGUCUAUAAUAUUGUAUUCAUAUUUAUUUUAAAAAAAAAUUUAUAAAAGAUUAUAAACAGGUUCAAGUUUAGGUGACAAUUUAUUUUGAUGAUUCAGAUUUAAGGUUAUAAUAUUACCUAAUACCAGUUACAAGUCUGCAAUGCCCAACCUGGUACUCAUCCCAUGGGCUAGACUGGGUAACAUCUGAUUUUUUUUGGGCUGGGCAAAAUAUUCAAAAUUUAGAUUAGUUAUAAAAAUUAUAGAUAAAUUCUGAUUAGUUUUUUUUACCACUUUUCAAUAUAAAUAGUUGCUUAUUUUGGUG